ensembl:snRNA U6 U6 spliceosomal RNA
GUACUCACUUCAGCAGCGCAUAUACUAAAAUUGGAACUAUAUACAGAAGAUUAGCAUAGUCCCUGUGCGAGGAUGACAUUCAAAUUUGUAAAGCGUUCCUUUUUGUU